GACGAACGCUGGCGGCGUGCUUAACACAUGCAAGUCGAACGGAAAGGCCCUGCUUUUGUGGGGUGCUCGAGUGGCGAACGGGUGAGUAACACGUGAGUAACCUGCCCUUGAUUUUGGGAUAACUUCAGGAAACUGGGGCUAAUACCGGAUAUGAGCUCCUGCUGCAUGGUGGGGGUUGGAAAGUUUCGGCGGUUGGGGAUGGACUCGCGGCUUAUCAGCUUGUUGGUGGGGUAGUGGCUUACCAAGGCUUUGACGGGUAGCCGGCCUGAGAGGGUGACCGGCCACAUUGGGAAGGAGAUACGGCCCAGACUCCUACGGGAGGCAGCAGUGGGGAAUAUUGCACAAUGGGCGGAAGCCUGAUGCAGCAACGCCGCGUGCGGGAUGACGGCCUUCGGGUUGUAAACCGCUUUCGCCUGUGACGAAGCGUGAGUGACGGUAAUGGGUAAAGAAGCACCGGCUAACUACGUG
rnacentral:rRNA from 1 species